rnacentral:rRNA from 1 species
AUUGAACGCUGGCGGCAGGCCUAACACAUGCAAGUCGAACGCGAAAGUCCUUCGGGAUGAGUAGAGUGGCGGACGGGUGAGUAACGCGUAGGAAUCUGCCCUGUAGUGGGGGAUAACGUUCCGAAAGGAACGCUAAUACCGCAUACGCCCCACGGGGGAAAGCGGGGGAUCUUCGGACCUCGCGCUACAGGAUGAGCCUGCGUCGGAUUAGCUGGUUGGUAGGGUAAAAGGCCUACCAAGGCGACGAUCCGUAGCUGGUCUGAGAGGAUGAUCAGCCACACCGGAACUGAGACACGGUCCGGACUCCUACGGGAGGCAGCAGUGGGGAAUAUUGCGCAAUGGGGGGAACCCUGACGCAGCCAUGCCGCGUGUGUGAAGAAGGCCUCGGUUGUAAGCACUUUCUAGUGGGGAGGAAAGGGGACGGCUGGG